GCGUUGGUGGUACAGUGGUUAGCAUAACUGACUUCCAAGCAGUUGACCCGGGUUCGAUUCCCUGCUAAAGAA
rnacentral:tRNA from 1 species